rnacentral:rRNA from 1 species
AUUGAACGCUGGCGGCAGGCCUAACACAUGCAAGUCGAGCGAGCGGCGGACGGGUGAGUAAUGUAUGGGGACUGCCCGAUAGAGGGGGAUAAAUACUGGAAACGGUGGCUAAUACCGCAUACUCUCGGAUAACCCAUAUGGGAUUAGCUAGUAGGUGGGGUAAAGGCUAACCUAGGCGACGAUCUCUAGCUGGUCUGAGGGGAUGAUCGGCCAAGUUGGGACGGGGACACGGCCCAGACUCCUAGGGAGGCAGCAGUGGGGAAUAUGCGACAAUGGGGACAAGCCGGAUGCAGCCAUGCCGGGUGUAUAAAGAAGGCCUUAGGGUUGUAAAGUACUUUCAGCGGGGAGGCGUUACCCGCAGAAGAAGCACCGGCUAACUCCGUGCCAGCAGCCGCGGUAAUAC